AUUGAACGCUGGCGGCAGGCCUAACACAUGCAAGUCGAACGAGUGGCGGACGGGUGAGUAAUGUCUGGGAAACUGCCCGCUGGAGGGGGAUAACUACUGGAAACGGUAGCUAAUACCGCAUACCAUCGGAUGUGCCCAGAUGGGAUUAGCUAGUAGGUGGGGUACCGGCUCACCUAGGCGACGAUCCCUAGCUGGUCUGAGAGGAUGACCAGCCAGACUGGAACUGAACCACGGUCCCGACUCCUACGGGAGGCGGCAGUGGGGAGUAUUGAACAAUGGGCGCAAGCCUAAUGCAGCCAUGCCGCGUGUAUGAGGAAGGCCUUCGGGUUUUAAAGUACUUUCAGCGAGGAGACGUUACUCGCAGAAGAAGCACCGGCUAACGCCGUGCCAGCAGCCGCGGUAAUUC
rnacentral:rRNA from 1 species